rnacentral:rRNA from 1 species
CGUUUAUUUGAUGGUGCCUUACUACAUGGAUAACCGUGGUAAUUCUAGAGCUAAUACAUGCUAAAAACCCCGACUUCGGAAGGGGUGUGUUUAUUAGAUUAAAAACCAAUGCCCUUCGGGGCUCCCUGGUGAUUCAUGAUAACCUCUCGAACCGCAUGGCCUUGCGCCGGCGGUGGUUCAUUCAAAUUUCUGCCCUAUCAACUUUCGAUGGCUGGGUCUUGGCCAGCCAUGGUGACAACGGGUAACGGAGGGUUAGGGCUCGACCCCGGAGAAGAAGCAUGAGAAUCGGCUUCUACAUCCAAGGAAGGCAGCAGGCGCGCAAAUUACACAAUGGCAACUCGCCGAUGUAGUGACGAACAAUACCGAUGCAGGGCUCUUUUGGGUCUUGCAAUUGGAAUGAGUACAAUUUAAAUCCCUUAACGAGGAACAAUUGGAGGGCAAGUCUGGUGCCAGCAGCCGCGGUAAUUCCAGCUCCAAUAGCGUAUAUUAAAGUUGUUGCAGUUAAAAAGCUCGUAGUUGAACCUUGGGCCUGGCUGGCCGGUCCGCCUCACCGCGUGCACUGGUCCGGCCGGGUCUUUCCCUCUGGGGAACCGCAUGUCCUUCACUGGGCGUGCUGGGGAACCAGGACUUUUACUUUGAAAAAAUUAGAGUGUUCAAAGCAGGCCUAUGCUCGAAUACAUUAGCAUGGAAUAAUAGAAUAGGACGUGCGGUUCUAUUUUGUUGGUUUCUAGGACCGCCGUAAUGAUUAAUAGGGACAGUCGGGGGCAUCAGUAUUCAAUUGUCAGAGGUGAAAUUCUUGGAUCUAUUGAAGACUAACUACUGCGAAAGCAUUUGCCAAGGAUGUUUUCAUUAAUCAGGAACGAAAGUUAGGGGAUCGAAGACGAUCAGAUACCGUCGUAGUCUUAACCAUAAACUAUGCCGACUAGGGAUCGGACGAUGUUAUUUUUUGACUCGUUCGGCACCUUACACGAAAGUACAAGUUUCUGGGUUCUGGGGGGAGUAUGGUCGCAAGGCUGAAACUUAAAGAAAUUGACGGAAGGGCACCACCAGGAGUGGAGCCUGCGGCUUAAUUUGACUCAACACGGGGAAACUCACCAGGUCCAGACACGAUGAGGAUUGACAGAUUGAGAGCUCUUUCUUGAUUUCGUGGGUGGUGGUGCAUGGCCGUUCUUAGUUGGUGGAGUGAUUUGU